rnacentral:lncRNA from 1 species
UUGGGGCAAAAAUGAACACAAUGUUCACAGCUUGAUACAGGUCUGAAUUUGGAAUGUGAUUAAAUAUUUGACACAUUGUCCCCCAAAAAAAAUUCUUUUCCCUCAAGAUACAGUCAUCAUUUCAAUUCUAAUUUCUAAUGGAAAUGCAACAAUAAUUACCCUAUAUUUAAAUACAUCAUAAAAGUCUUAAAAUAGAAAAAAUAUUCCUUAAUCAGUAUAAAUUUAUAAGUUAAUUGACAGCUAAUCACCUUAAGUCAAUACAACAUUCUUUUGUACAUAAUUUUUAAAGCAGUUUAAGGGAGAUAAUUCAUAAAUAUGUUUGGAUUACCUUAAUAUAUUUGGAUUACCUCCCUCACACUACUUUAAAGUUGUUUUUAAUAAUUGUACAUUGACCAAGAAACCCUUGUUUUACGUCUUUUUCUGCCCCUAAUUCCUAAACGGUUGGAGCCAUAACCCCUCCAAAGCCAAUCUAAACCAUCCCUUUGUGGUAUGGAAACUUGUGGUACAAUUUCAGAGAGAUCCAUACACUUAAACACAAGUUAUUGUCUGGAAACUAGAAAAAUGCCUUUUUGGGCCUCUUUUUGACCACUAAUUCCUAAACUGGUAGGACCAGAACCCCAAAAAUCAAUCCCAACCUUCCUUUUGUGAUUUUAAACCUUGUAUUUAAAUUUCCUAGACAUCUACUUACUUAAACUAAAGUUAUUGUCCGGAAACCAACAGUCUUCAGAACAACGACAACAACAUAAUACCAAUAUACGACCACAUUUUUUUUUCUCAGUCAAAUAAAACCAAGAGACAAAUAACAGUACACAAAACACAAAGUACUCAUCAACAGUAUGUUGCUAAUUUCAAUAUGAAUAUAUAAUCAUUAAAAUAAGUCAAUUUUGGCCUUAAAAAAU